CGAGUUUGAUCAUGGCUACGAGGACAACGCUGGCGGCGUGCCUAACACAUGCAAGUCGAACGGAGUUAAACGCUGAAAUUGAGAUUAGCUUGCUAAAGGAUUUUUCUUGUUUAACUUAGUGGCGGACGGGUGAGUAACGCGUGAGCAACCUGCCUUACAGAGGGGGACAACAGUUGGAAACGACUGCUAAUACCGCAUAAUGUGGAGAGAGGACAUCCUCUUUUCACCAAAGGAGCAAUCCGCUGUAAGAUGGGCUCGCGUCCGAUUAGAUAGUUGGUGGGGUAACGGCCUACCAAGUCGACGAUCGGUAGCCGGACUGAGAGGUUGAACGGCCACAUUGGGACUGAGACACGGCCCAGACUCCUACGGGAGGCAGCAGUGGGGGAUAUUGCACAAUGGAGGAAACUCUGAUGCAGCAACGCCGCGUGAGGGAAGAAGGUUUUCGGAUUGUAAACCUCUGUUUUUAGUGAAGAAACAAAUGACGGUAGCUAAAGAGGAAGCCACGGCUAACUACGUG
rnacentral:rRNA from 1 species